UUGUGUUUUGCUGAGCUGUAGGGUGUUCCAAGAACAGCUAUUCGGAUUUGAUGUACAGGUUAAUACGGCAUAAGAGAAGACUGUAAUCUGACCUGAAGUCUAGUACGGGUCAUAAAGCGAAAAGGUACUUUUAUGUGCGGUAAUAUUAUGUCAGCGUCCCUACCAGCAAUUGUGCCCGCCGCUUGUAGAGCCACGGCCGCGGUGAUAUUCCUCCAUGGCCUAGGAGACACAGGACAUGGAUGGGCUGAAGCUAUGGCUGGGAUCAGGACACCUUAUGUAAAGUACAUUUGCCCUCAUGCUCAAUGAUUAGCAAUAAUAAGGAUAUAUCGGUGCUGCAGUGUCAUGGCGAAGCAGAUCCUCUGGUUCCUCUUAUUUUUGGCCGUCUCACUGUAGAGAAACUCAAAGUCAUGCUGAAUCCCUCCAAUAUCACUUUUAAAACAUACUCUCAAAUGCCUCACUGUGCAUGUCCUGAGGAAAUGAUGGACAUCAAGCAGUUUAUUAAGAAGCAGCUCCCCAAAAUCAAUUAAUCAACCAUUUAUACUGUAAUUGUUCGGUUUUACAGUACUUUUUUUGUUAAAUGGACAGUGAAAUUCAUUAAAUG